rnacentral:rRNA from 1 species
GAUGAACGCUGGCGGCGUGCCUAAUACAUGCAAGUCGAGCGAACAGACGAGGAGCUUGCUCCUCUGACGUUAGCGGCGGACGGGUGAGUAACACGUGUAUAACCUACCUAUAAGACUGGGAUAACUUCGGGAAACCGGAUCUAAUACCGGAUAAUAUAUUGAACCGCAUGGUUCAAUAGUGAAAGACGGUUUUGCUGUAACUUCUCGAUGGAUACGGGCCGCAUUAGCUAGUUGGUAAGGUAACGGCUUACCAAGGCGACGAUGCGUAGACGACCGGCGAGGGUGAUCGGCCACACGAGAGCUGAGACACGGUCCAGACUCCUACGGUAGGCAGCAGUAGGGAAUCUUCCGCAAUAGGCGAAAGCCUGACGGAGCAACGCCGCGUGAGUGAUGAAGGUCUUCGGAGCGUAAAACUCUGUUAUUAGGGAAGAACAAAUGUGUAAGUAACUAUGCACGUCUUGACGGUACCUAAUCAGAAAGCAACGGCUAACUACGUG